AACAAGGAGCAACCCCUCGGCAGAUAUUGUCCUCUGAAACUACAUGGUUUACCUGAUUGAGGUCACUGAUGAAGAAGGUAUCGCUUCUCCUAAUCUGAAACGAUAAAUGAUGAUCCGAUUACCAUCUCCAGAGGCAACUCUCACCUUCGCCGGAAAUACGGAGUUUCUUCAAGGAGGAGGAGGAGGAGGAGAAGUUGGAUAACCCAGAAACCUAAACUCACGAAGGUUGGUAGACGUUUAUAAAAUUCAAUGAUACGAUACAAAGUUCCCCGUAUUCAGGAAAACAGUAUUGAGAAGAUCUGCAAGUUCGGAUAAUUAUGCGAAAAAGAGGAUGUCAUGCCUAGAGCUUCAAGUGUGUUCAAUGUUGAAACCAGCAACCCUGGCUUCGAUGAACAGCAAAUCUGGAUUCGGGUGUGAAGCUGUCAAGAUUUGGCAAAACUGCAGGGAAGUCGACUGUUUCACCUGUGUAAGAAGAGCAUUGAAAACUGGGUUCUAUGGAGGAUGAUAUAAGCUGCAAAAAUGAAGAAGAAGAAGAAGCUAAUAAUGAAUCAUCUUCUUCAUUAUAACUGGUAUCCCAAAAUAACCCAGGAUCUACAUUAGGAAAUGUGGUCAAACUCUGUUUGAUUGGAGUCAACAAGUCUUCAAGAAGACCUUGUGGUUGACUACUGGGGUGCUGCAUCAUCAAGCAAAUUGGGGUUUUUAAAAAGAAUCUUGUGAGAUGGGUGUGGGUGGUUUGACCCACAGAUGUGUCUGCACCGAAAACGAUGGACUUGGCUGCAUAGACCUUGUCAGGCUGGUCGUACCCCCAUGAGUCAUCAAGCCAUACAGGAAAUUCUGGAACGGAAAUCCCUCAAGGAUUGGAUUUAGAAAUCCCACGGUGUAAUGCGUAUUUCAGAGGAUUUGGUGGAUUUAUUAAGUUUUGAAGUUGGAUUUCAUUUCAAUCUCGUGUUUAGUUUAAAGAAAGUCUAGAAUUGAUAUCUCACAAACAUUAGAUUUGGAAAUUCCAUUGUGGGUAAUUAGUAUUUUGGGAGAUUUCAUAGAA